GGGGCUAUAGCUCAGCUGGGAGAGCGCCUGCUUUGCACGCAGGAGGUCUGCGGUUCGAUCCCGCAUAGCUUCA
rnacentral:tRNA from 1 species